UACAGAGGGGGCAAGCGUUGUUCGGAAUUACUGGGCGUAAAGCGCACGUAGGCGGAUCAGCAAGUUAGGGGUGAAAUCCCGGGGCUCAACCCCGGAACUGCCUUUAAAACUGUUGGUCUGGAGGUCGAGAGAGGUGAGUGGAAUUCCGAGUGUAGAGGUGAAAUUCGUAGAUAUUCGGAGGAACACCAGUGGCGAAGGCGGCUCACUGGCUCGAUACUGACGCUGAGGUGCGAAAGCGUGGGGAGCAAACAGG
rnacentral:rRNA from 1 species